rnacentral:rRNA from 1 species
GUGUGUAGGCGGUUUUCUAAGUUUGGUGUGAAUCUCCCGGCUCAACCGGGAGGGUGCGCCGAAAACUGGGAGACUAGAGUGCGGGAUGGGAGAGUAGAAUUCCUGGUGUAGCGGUGAAAUGCGUAGAUAUCAGGAGGAAUACCGGUGGUGUAGACGGCUCUCUGGACCGCCACUGACGCUGAGACACGAAAGCGUGGGUAGCAAACAGGAUUAGAUACCCUGGUAGUCCACGCCCUAAACGAUGCAUAUUUGGUGUAGGUCAUUCACUUGAUCUGUGCCGGAGCUAACGCGUUAAAUAUGCCGCCUGGGGAGUACAGUCGCAAGGCUGAAACUCAAAGGAAUUGACGGGGGCCCGCACAAGCGGUGGAGCAUGUGGUUCAAUUCUACGCACCGCGAAGAACCUUACCUGGGCUCGAACGGCUUCUCAACGACGGUGGAAACACCGUUACUCCGCAAGGGGGUGGAGUCGAGGUGCUGCAUGGCUGUCGUCAGCUCGUGUCGUGAGAUGUUGGGUUAAGUCCCGCAACGAGCGCAACCCUUGUCCUGUGUU